AUGUGGCCUUCGGCAUCGCUUUUUACCACACAAACUUGGUUAGGUGAUCCAACGAGAUUAAUAAGAUGGAAUUUCCUCGGCGAGAACGCUGGUACUUUCCUAGGAAAUCCAGGUAUAGCUUUUAAAUGUGUCGAUCCGUGCGUAACUUCUUCCCAUCACUGGUCGUUUUAUCAGCGUUGUGUGUUGGUUUUCUUUGCAGUUUUCGCAUUCUUCUGCAAAUUCUCAGACUUGAACUACCAUUUUGGGAAAGUAAUAAAUAUUCUGAAGUCUUUCUGAGGUCUUUGCCAUACCCCCAUACCCCUCGUCAGUGCUUCCGUAGUCCAAAGUUUCCAUUCAAUUUCAUCACUUUCCUUUCUGUUGAAGUGCUUCUUCUUGACCAUAGGUCCCUCUUCCACAUGUAAGUCUGGAAACUUGUCUCUUCCAUGCUCUUCAAUCAAUGAAAGUCUUUUCAAGUAUUCAGGAUUCUCAAACUCCGUUGUCUCAAAAUCGAAGAACAAAGUCGAAUGCUUGUAAUGCUACCGAUCACCGCGCUAGUCUCCUGUUCUAAUCCUUCAUAAGCCAUUGCAGGCUUGCGUGUUCGGUAACGAUAGUAAACGCAAUUAACUUCACUUAGGGACGGAAUCUUUCCACGGCUUUUACUGCUCCGAGGCACUCUUUUUCCGUUACGCUGUAAUUAAGUUGUGCUCCUCUCAGCUUCGCCGAAAAGAAUGCUAUUGGCCGGUUCGGCCAAUAUUAAACUUUUAAGUUAAACUUAAUAAAGCUAGCCGGGCUAUCGGUUUUUGUGUCUCUAAAUUCAUUUAUAUGAAAAUUUACUUAAUGAGAGGCUUGUUCGUAGAAUUAAUGGUGUAGGUCAAAAAGAGCUUGCUGUGUACCGUGGCUAUGCAUGAUUAUUAAAAAAAUAAAAAAUUAUAUUCCCAAUAUUAUAAGAAAAUAUGUCAACAAGA